CACUGCCAGAGGAGGUUCUCUGUCCUGACCAAGAGUUUCGGUUGUCAUAUAUCAAACAACUACUGAGUCUGGUUUGCAAAGGUGACAUUACCUUCACCCGAGGCGGGGUGUGACAGAAGUACACCCCUUUGUCCACAACUGCGUUCAGAGAAUCUGGAGAAAUCACUCCACGUAAGCGGCAUGGCCGUGACCUUCUAUCCCUCAGACGGCACUGUACCAAAAACCGACAUCAAUCUCUAAAGGAUAUCACCACAUGGGCUCAGGAACACUUCAGAAAAACCACUGCCACUAAAUACAGUUCAUCGCUACAUCUAUCAUCUGAGAUGGACUGAUGCAAGGUGGUAAAGUGUUAUUGUGCCUGAGGAGUCCACAUUUCAAAUUGUUUUUGUAAAUAUUCGACAUCGUGUCUUUCGGACCAAAGGGGAAGCGAACCAUCCAGACUGUUAUCGACGCAAAGUUCAAAAGCCAGCAUCUGUGAUAGUUUGGGGGUGCAUUAGUGCCCAAAGCAUGGGUAACUUACACAUCUGUGAAGGCACCAUUAAUGCUGAAAGGUACAUACAGGUUUUGGAACAUCAUAUGUUGUCAUCUAAGCGCCGUCUUUUUCAUGGACGCCAGUGCUUAUUUCAGCAAGACAAAGCCAAGCCACAUUCAGCAGGUGUUACAACAGCGUGGCUUAGUAAAAAGAGAGUGCGGGUACUUUCCUGGCCCCCCCACAGUCCAGACCUGUCUCCCAUCAAAAAUGUGUGGCGCGUUAUGAAGCGUAAAAUACGACAGCGGAGACCCCGGACUGUUGAACGACUGAAGCUCUACAUAAUACAAGAAUGGGAAAGAAUUCCACUUUCAAAGCUUCAACAAUUAGUUUCCUCAGUUCCCAAACUUUUUUUGAGUGUUGUUAAAAGAAAAGGUGAUGUAACACAGUGGUGAACAUGCCCUUU